rnacentral:rRNA from 1 species
AACGAACGCUGGCGGCGGGCCUCAUACAUGCAAGUCGAGCGCGAAAGUCCGCAAGGAUGAGUAAAGCGGCGCACGGGUGAGUAACACGUGGAUAAUCUACCCUUUGGAUUGGAAUAACCUGUCGAAAGACGGGCUAAUGCCGAGUAAGCUCUUGAGAGCGUGAAGCUCUUACGAGGAAAGAUGGCGCAAGCUAUCGCCGAUGGAUGAGUCUGCGCCCAUUAGUUAGUUGGUGAGGUAAUGGCUUACCAAGACAAUGAUGGGUACCUGGUCUGAGAGGAUGACCAGGCACACUGGAACUGAAACACGGUCCAGACUCCUACGGGAGGCAGCAGUAGGGAAUAUUGCGCAAUGGACGAAAGUCUGACGCAGCCACGCCGCGUGAGUGAGGAAGGCCU